CGGCAGGGAAAAGCAGCGCUGCGGUUUAGGGGAGGACGCCGGGGUUGCAGUUCAGCCCAGAAGCCGGUAACUUCCCGCGCUUUGAGCGUGGUAGGAGUCCGGUUCAAGACCGAGAGCAAAUGGAGACUUGAGCUAAGGUAAAGGUGACCUUCCCCCUCUCCCAGCUGAAUCUCCUGUGAGACACCUGACUCCUGCUGAGGCCGAUUACAGCUGCCACUUGUUAACUGUUCAAGCACUGUCCAUGGAAAAGAUCCCUGGAAAAUGAAGACGAAUCCUGUCUGCCAAGAGCCUAAAAAAGUAGUGAAAUAAAUGGCUUUCCAUUUCAAAGGCCAAAUCUUGAAAGUUCACCACUGCAUCAUCCACAACCCCCAGGACCCUCAGGGGAGAAAGAGAUAUUAGAGCCCAAGGUUCCAAGAGAAGCACUAGUGAAGAUGGAAACAAAAGAGUGGAGUUGGCAUUAAGUACUCAGGUACUUGCUCAGGAAUGGCUGUUUUGUUUCAACUGAAGGCCAAGUUGAAUGCCCACUCUGAGUGACGCAGCAGGAAAAGGAUUCUACAAUGUUUGGGAAGUCAGAUAUUUAUGAAAGUGAAGUGCUGUAAAUGCUGAAGUGUUAGAAGCAGUCUACUAGUAGUAUUUUUAAAAAGAGAGAGAC